rnacentral:rRNA from 1 species
UACCUUGUUGCUUCGGCGGGCCCGCCUUAACUGGCCGCCGGGGGGCUUACGCCCCCGGGCCCGCGCCCGCCGAAGACACCCUCGAACUCUGUCUGAAGAUUGUAGUCUGAGUGAAAAUAUAAAUUAUUUAAAACUUUCAACAACGGAUCUCUUGGUUCCGGCAUCGAUGAAGAACGCAGCGAAAUGCGAUACGUAAUGUGAAUUGCAAAUUCAGUGAAUCAUCGAGUCUUUGAACGCACAUUGCGCCCCCUGGUAUUCCGGGGGGCAUGCCUGUCCGAGCGUCAUUGCUGCCCUCAAGCACGGCUUGUGUGUUGGGCCCCGUCCUCCGAUCCCGGGGGACGGGCCCGAAAGGCAGCGGCGGCACCGCGUCCGGUCCUCGAGCGUAUGGGGCUUUGUCACCCGCUCUGUAGGCCCGGCCGGCGCUUGCCGAUCAACCCAAAUUUUUAUCCAGGUUGACCUCGGAUCAGGUAGGGAUACCCGCUGAACUUAAGCAUAUCAAU